CCCGAGACUAGAGUCACAUCCUGACAUAGUUCUUGUCCUGAUGUGCUGGAGUUCUCGGAGAGAAUUUGCUGGUCUUUUUUUUUUUUUUUUAAGAUUUUAUUUAUUUAUUUGAGAGCGAGACAGAGAGGACAUGA